UGGGGGAUAUUGCACAAUGGGGGAAACCCUGAUGCAGCGACGCCGCGUGGAGGAAGAAGGUCUUCGGAUUGUAAACUCCUGUUGUUGAGGAAGAUAAUGACGGUACUCAACAAGGAAGUGACGGCUAACUACGUGCCAGCAGCCGCGGUAAAACGUAGGUCACAAGCGUUGUCCGGAAUUACUGGGUGUAAAGGGAGCGCAGGCGGGAAGACAAGUUGGAAGUGAAAUCCAUGGGCUCAACCCAUGAACUGCUUUCAAAACUGUUUUUCUUGAGUAGUGCAGAGGUAGGCGGAAUUCCCGGUGUAGCGGUGGAAUGCGUAGAUAUCGGGAGGAACACCAGUGGCGAAGGCGGCCUACUGGGCACCAACUGACGCUGAGGCUCGAAAGUGUGGGUAGCAAACAGGAUUAGAUACCCUGGUAGUCCACACCGUAAACGAUGAUUACUAGGUGUUGGAGGAUUGACCCCUUCAGUGCCGCAGUUAACACAAUAAGUAAUCCACCUGGGGAGUACGACCGCAAGGUUGAAACUCAAAGGAAUUGACGGGGGCCCGCACAAGCAGUGGAGUAUGUGGUUUAAUUCGACGCAACGCGAAGAACCUUACCAAGUCUUGACAUCCUGCGACGGUUCUGGAAACAGAACUUUCCUUCGGGACGCAGAGACAGGUGGUGCAUGGUUGUCGUCAGCUCGUGUCGUGAGAUGUUGGGUUAAGUCCCGCAACGAGCGCAACCCUUAUGGUCAGUUACUACGCAAGAGGACUCUGGCCAGACUGCCGUUGACAAAACGGAGGAAGGUGGGGAUGACGUCAAAUCAUCAUGCCCUUUAUGACUUGGGCUACACACGUACUACAAUGGCGUUAAACAAAGAGAAGCAAGACCGCGAGGUGGAGCAAAACUCAGAAACAACGUCCCAGUUCGGACUGCAGGCUGCAACUCGCCUGCACGAAGUCGGAAUUGCUAGUAAUCGUGGAUCAGCAUGCUGCGGUGAAUACGUUCCC
rnacentral:rRNA from 1 species